rnacentral:rRNA from 1 species
UACGUAGGGUGCGAGCGUUGUCCGGAAUUAUUGGGCGUAAAGGGCUCGUAGGCGGUCUGUCGCGUCGGGAGUGAAAACUCAGGGCUUAACCCUGAGCCUGCUUCCGAUACGGGCAGACUAGAGGUAUGCAGGGGAGAACGGAAUUCCUGGUGUAGCGGUGAAAUGCGCAGAUAUCAGGAGGAACGCCGGUGGCGAAGGCGGUUCUCUGGGCCGAUACUGACGCUGAGGAGCGAAGGCGUGGGGAGCGAACAGG